rnacentral:lncRNA from 1 species
GCGCAGUGAGUGUGCGCAGUGCAGUGCAAGAAAAAAAUUUCAUGCUGCAGAACGCAGAUAUCGGCAACGAAUAUUUCCAUCUAAAAUGGAUGAAAAUACAGACUACAGACCCGGGAAUAGUCGUUUUUCAUAAACUUUUCAAAUUCAAUUUCAAUAUUUUUACGCAGUUCCUGACUCGAUCUGACUAAGAAUGCAGCAAGUGCAUUUGCGUGUAAGACAUCUGCGUCCCAGCGUGCUCGCCGCAAUUUUAGCUCCCCACGCCAGGAAAGCCGAGUGGUACCGAAUUAAUCAUCAUGCCUUUCGUUGCGAAUAUUCUCCGAGCUACGCUGGCAAUUCAUGAGUUGCCUAAAGACUAUACAGGUCUUUUUUUAGGAUGUAGCAACACCGAUUGCCCUUCCAACAAAGCUCUCUUGAAUGAGUGUUGUGACAAUCCGUGCGUUGUGAAAAUUCAUGCAUUGGACAACUCGAAUUCUCGACUCGAUUUACAAUCAUGUGCUUCUGAUCCACCUGGAUACAUCGGUGAUAUCGAUUCUGGCUGUACACCAGGUGUGAGAAAAAGCUCGUUACUGCUGAGGUUUGCGGACAACACAUUCAACAGUAGUUACCUAACGAUGAUAGAUGUUGACAUCAAAAUAAGGACUAUAGAGGUUAAAGGAGACAGGGUGAAGCUGGGUACGCAUGGUGUAAUAUCAUUGGUUACGACGUUACCAGAGGUGACUCGUUUGCAGAUGUCAAACGAUGGCUACACAAGAUUGACCACAACUGCAAUACAGUCAAUAGGGUUCUCGUGGAUAACAAAAACGAUGCUUCUAACCAAAAAGUUGUACUGACCGAGGAUACUGAACGUUUUGCCACCCAAAUGAGUAUUUAACUCUUUGAGAUCUCUGCUAAAGGCAACAUCAAUGUUCAAGAGGCGAUCCAGAGUAAUUCGACGACGACGUCACUAUAACAGCGGCAGAGUUAUCGGCGACUCCAACGGCAAUGAGAACCGCGAGUGGUUGGACCGGUGGCUCAACGAGAUUCAAUCCAGAGCAAAAUGCAAAAGCCGCGACGACGGGGAAAAACGGAGCUCGAGGACGAGGGAGUUAUAGAAACAGGAGUCGGAGCGAGAGAAAACAAUACACGGAGACGACCUGAACGACGAGCCAACGAAUCCCAUUGUCGAGCGGAAAGACAGAGAGGAAAAAAAAUGAUAAAAAUGAUGCCAAGCACUAUGACACAUUACGAAAAAUGUAUUCACCUACGAGAAAGUCACCGAAAAUAAUACCGAUGGAUACUCCAGUUGAUGCGCAAGUGAUAGACGCGUCAGUGGGGGCAAUGGAAACUUGAGAUCGACAACUUUUUUCCUUUCGAUUCUAUGAAUAUGGAUUGAUCUGUAUUUUUCAAUAAACUUGUAAUUCAUCGUA